rnacentral:rRNA from 1 species
GUAGGGUAACGGCCUACCAAGGCGACGACGGGUAGCUGGUCUGAGAGGAUGAUCAGCCACACUGGCACUGGAACACGGGCCAGACUCCUACGGGAGGCAGCAGUGAGGAAUUUUGCGCAAUGGCCGCAAGGCUGACGCAGCAACGCCGCGUGGGUGAAGAAGGCCUUCGGGUCGUAAAGCCCUGUCAGGUGGGAAGAAGUGCUUGGGGGUAAAUAGCCCUUGAGUUUGACGGUACCACCAGAGGAAGCACCGGCUAACUCCGUGCCAGCAGCCGCGGUAAUACGGAGGGUGCGAGCGUUAUUCGGAAUUACUGGGCGUAAAGCGCGUGCAGGCGGGGGUGCAAGUCUGAUGUGAAAGCCCUGGGCUUAACCUGGGAAGUGCAUUGGAAACUGCAUCUCUUGAGUACUGGAGAGGAAGGGGGAAUUCCCGGUGUAGAGGUGAAAUUCGUAGAGAUCGGGAGGAAUACCAGUGGCGAAGGCGCCCUUCUGGACGGUUACUGACGCUGAGACGCGAAAGCGUGGGGAGCAAACAGGAUUAGAUACCCUGGUAGUCCACGCCGUAAACGAUGUUCACUAGGUGUUGGGGGUAUUGACCCCCUCAGUGCCGCAGCUAACGCAUUAAGUGAACCGCCUGGGGAGUACGGUCGCAAGACUAAAACUCAAAGGAAUUGACGG